UUUUUUAGAGUUUUGAUACCUGGCUCAGGACGAACGCUGGCGGCGUGCCUAAUACAUGCAAGUCGAGCGGACAGAUGGGAGCUUGCUCCCUGAUGUUAGCGGCGGACGGGUGAGUAACACGUGGGUAACCUGCCUGUAAGACUGGGAUAACUCCGGGAAACCGGGGCUAAUACCGGAUGGUUGUUUGAACCGCAUGGUUCAGACAUAAAAGGUGGCUUCGGCUACCACUUACAGAUGGACCCGCGGCGCAUUAGCUAGUUGGUGAGGUAACGGCUCACCAAGGCAACGAUGCGUAGCCGACCUGAGAGGGUGAUCGGCCACACUGGGACUGAGACACGGCCCAGACUCCUACGGGAGGCAGCAGUAGGGAAUCUUCCGCAAUGGACGAAAGUCUGACGGAGCAACGCCGCGUGAGUGAUGAAGGUUUUCGGAUCGUAAAGCUCUGUUGUUAGGGAAGAACAAGUGCCGUUCAAAUAGGGCGGCACCUUGACGGUACCUAACCAGAAAGCCACGGCUAACUACGUGCCAGCAGCCGCGGUAAUACGUAGGUGGCAAGCGUUGUCCGGAAUUAUUGGGCGUAAAGGGCUCGCAGGCGGUUUCUUAAGUCUGAUGUGAAAGCCCCCGGCUCAACCGGGGAGGGUCAUUGGAAACUGGGGAACUUGAGUGCAGAAGAGAGAGU
rnacentral:rRNA from 1 species